rnacentral:rRNA from 1 species
UAUCCCUUCGUAAGAGUAAGACCUCUCAAAGACUAUGAGUUUGAUAGGCUCAAAGUGUAAGCGUGGUGACACGUUCAGCUUGCGAGUACUAAUCGGUCGAGGGCUUUUCCU